GAGAAACAGAAAUCCAGGAGUUUCCUUGCAGCGGCUGGGAUAAUAACGGCUGAUUGUGAUGAAACCUACAACACUGUCAUCUAUUAUGACUACAAAACUGA